UACGUAGGGGGCUAGCGUUGUCCGGAUUUAUUGGGCGUAAAGAGCGUGUAGGCGGCCAGGUAGGUCUGGUGUGAAAACUCGAGGCUUAACCUCGAGAUGUCAUCGGAAACCAUCUGGCUAGAGUCCGGAAGAGGAGAGUGGAAUUCCUGGUGUAGCGGUGAAAUGCGCAGAUAUCAGGAAGAACACCAAUGGCGAAAGCAGCUCUCUGGGACGGUACUGACGCCGAGACGCGAAAGCGUGGGGAGCGAACAGG
rnacentral:rRNA from 1 species